CAGGUAGGCUAAAAACAGAGAAGGAAAACUACACACCAAUCUCCUUAAUGAACAUAGAUGCAAAAAUCUUAAAUAGGAUACUAGCAAAAAGACUCCAGCAAGUGAUCACAAGAGUUAUUCAUUAUGAUAAGGUGGGAUUUAUACCAGGAAUACAAGGAUUGUUCAAUAUUAGGAAAACCAUCCACAUAACUAAUUGACCAUAUCAACAAGCAAACCAACAAAAAUCACAUGAUUAUCUCAAGAAAGAAAGAAAGAAAGAAAGAAAGAAAGAAAGAAAGAAAGAAAAAAGAAAGAAAGAAAGAAAGAAAGAAAGAAAGAAGAAAGAAGGAAGGAAGGAAAGAAGGAAAGAAAGAAAGAAAGAAGAAAGAAAGAAAGAAAGAAAAGGAAGAAGGGAGGAAGGAAGGAAGGAAGGAAGGAAGGAAGGAAGGAAGGAAGGAAGGAAGGAAGGAAGUAAGGAAGGAAGGAAGGAAGGAAGGAAGGAAGAUCUAA
rnacentral:lncRNA from 1 species